GCGAUGCUUCUUCGGAAGCGUCAAUUAGCGGCGGACGGGUGAGUAACACGUGGGUAACCUGCCUCAAAGAGGGGAAUAGCCUCCCGAAAGGGAGAUUAAUACCGCAUAAUAUAUUUUGGUCGCAUGAUCAAAAUAUCAAAGGAUUCUCUUCGGAGUUUCCACUUUGAGAUGGACCCGCGGCGCAUUAGCUAGCUGGUGAGGUAACGGCUCACCAAGGCAACGAUGCGUAGCCGACCUGAGAGGGUGAUCGGCCACAUUGGAACUGAGACACGGUCCAGACUCCUACGGGAGGCAGCAGUGGGGAAUAUUGCGCAAUGGGGGAAACCCUGACGCAGCAACGCCGCGUGAAUGAUGAAGGCCUUCGGGUUGUAAAGUUCUGUCUUCUGGGACGAUAAUGACGGUACCAGAGGAGGAAGCCACGGCUAACUACGUGCCAGCAGCCGCGGUAAUACGUAGGUGGCAAGCGUUGUCCGGAUUUACUGGGCGUAAAGGAUGCGUAGGCGGACAUUUAAGUCAGAUGUGAAAUACCCGAGCUUAACUUGGGUGCUGCAUUUGAAACUGGGUGUCUAGAGUGCAGGAGAGGUAAGUGGAAUUCCUAGUGUAGCGGUGAAAUGCGUAGAGAUUAGGAAGAACACCAGUGGCGAAGGCGACUUACUGGACUGUAACUGACGCUGAGGCAUGAAAGCGUGGGGAGCAAACAGGAUUAGAUACCCUGGUAGUCCACGCCGUAAACGAUGAA
rnacentral:rRNA from 1 species